AAGGCAGUUUCUUUUGUUCUCCGCUUGUGUGUCCUAGAGGGGAAAGACACCUUUCAGUAUGGCUGUAGAGACACAUCACCCUGCUUGUGACUGGAAAACUAGAAUGCAGUCAGAGAAAAGCUGGGGGAGGAUUUGCACCUGACACAGAGAGCAUGAAGGCACUGUGUAGCAGGAAGAGCACAUGCUUCUCCUGAUGUCUGGAUCCAUACAGCUGUCCAAGCAUGGAUUCUCUCUCUGUACUUGGCACCAAAUUCAUCUAAGCAGAAAUAAGGUGAUUGGAUAAAGCUUACAUGAGAAAGCAAGAAUAUGGAAGGGAGAAGAGAUGUGGGGUGACUGAGGAGGGGAAUGGAGAGAUGGAAGAGGGCAUCUUGAAGGAGAGCACCUGAUCAUCCUUGUGAAAGUGUUCAUUCCACUCUUACUUUUUUCUUUUCCUUGGAACAGUUCUUGGAUGGACAGAUGAAAAGAUAGCAUAUCUCUGCUGAUGCUUACUUGGGUUGUUUUAAUCUUUUUCAUAAUAAAGAUGAGUUACAAUGGGCAGUCUUCAGUAUCUGCUGUUCCUGAAACUACUCCUGGAAUAAUUUGUCUUCUGAGACUUGUGACUAACUGCUUCAACAUGACAACAAUCACAAGUGUGUAUUUCCAUUUUACAGUUUUAUAUGGGAACUAAAUCUGUUCUGUGUAAACGAAGCAAAAUAAAAUCCAUGUUUAUGAUCCUUGUAAAAAACUGAAGAGAAAAAAAAAACGAAAAAACCCAACAAAAAUAAAGUUGGCUUACAGCCAGA